UGCUGUAGCUCAGUCGGUAGAGCGCAUCCUUGGUAAGGAUGAGGUCGGCGGUUCGAAUCCGCCCAG
rnacentral:tRNA from 1 species